AAAAGUUUAUGGCAGUAUACUUAUGGUUUUUCCACAGCAAGACUUAUCCAUCUCACUGUGGAUGUGCUGUGACUUGCCCAAAUGUGGGAAACUCAGCUGCAUAAUUUGUGGUAGUGGGAACUGAGUUUGCACUCUCCCUA
rnacentral:snRNA from 1 species